rnacentral:rRNA from 1 species
CCUACGGGUGGCAGCAGUGGGGAAUAUUGCACAAUGGGGGAAACCCUGAUGCAGCAACGCCGCGUGAGUGAAGAAGUAUUUCGGUAUGUAAAGCUCUAUCAGCAGGGAAGAAAAUGGCAGUAACCUGAAAAAUAGCCACCGGCUAACUAGGUCCCAGCAGCCCCGGUAAUACGUAGGGGGCAAGCGUUAUCCGGAUUUACUGGGUGUAAGGGGAUCGUAGACGGAAAGGCAAGUCAGAAGUGAAAGCCCAGGGCUCAACCAUGGGACUGCUUUUGAACCUGUCGAGCUAGAGUACAGGAGAGGUAGGAAGAAUUCCUAGUGUAGCGGUGAAAUGCGUAGAGAUUAGGAGGAAAACCAGUGGCGAAGGCGUCUUACUGGACCGAAACUGACGUUGAGGCUCGAAAGCGUGGGGAGCAAACAGGAUUAGAUACCCUGGUAGUC